rnacentral:snRNA from 1 species
CUCUUUCUGCAAUGUCAGUAUUGUAGCCAAUGAGGUUUAUUAGAGGUGUUGUUAUUGCUAAUUGCAAAUUUUUCAAUAUAUAAAUUUCAAUAUAUACAUUUAAAAAUUUUCUGAAACAUUCAGAGUUGAAU